GCCAGCAGCUAUAUCACCCUGCAACUCACAACUGGCAGCAUACUGAAGCUUAGCAGGUGUGAGCCUGGUCAGUAUCUGGAUGGGAGACCUCCUGGGAAAACUAAGGUUACUGCUGUUA
rnacentral:rRNA from 1 species